rnacentral:misc_RNA from 1 species
GAGAAAAGGAGAAAAUUGGGCAACAGUUCAACAACUUUUUCCUACUAGUCGGGUGUUGUUACAUUUGGUGGUGCUGCGCGGGCGUCUGUUUUCAUAGAUUCACGACAACAACAACAACAUACGACGACAACAACAAGAAAGUGUGUGAUUGCAGAACAUUCCGGCCAUUUAUCGAAUCCAUUUAGCGACUUUUAACAACAGCAACAACAACAACAACCAAAUAUGCUGGUAGUAGUGGACAACAACAUUGCGAGUGCUGCUGCCAACAUGAUGGAUGGAACAGCUGAGGAACAGAAUCUGACGGGAGAAUUAUCAAGGAGCGACGCCCUGUCGACUCGUCCGUCAGUGGCCGUCUCGCGGGCCGUUCAACAACUUUUGGAGCGACACGGCCUGGCUGGCCGUCCUUCGACUGUUAAUAACGGGAACGUGACGGUCGGAGCGUUCGUUCAAGUCAACAACAACAACAACAACACCAACUGUUUGUUGUUGCAACCUCCUGAUGUCGCCGUCGGCGCCGGUGUCGAGUCAGAAUCCGAUUUGGACUCGGAUUCCGAGCCGCGGUUCAGACCCGAUCCGAUCGGAGGCAACCGGCACAGCAACAGUCUCGAUGCCGGCUGUCAUCCGGCCAUGAUGGACGACGACCAGGUCGACUUGAACGGCAACAGCCAACAACAAGAGGAGCAGCAGCAGCAGCAGCAACAACAAGGAGCCGAUGCUGAGACGGAAGAAUUAUCGAAAUUACGAUGUCAGAGCGUCCGGACGGAAGUGCUGGCGGAGAAAUUCCGGCGUAAGAAUCGAUGCGCCGAUUACCCGGGAUUCGGUUUCGCUUCGUCCGUUUUCAGUUCGGACACGAUGAUGAAAUUCAACAUAAUCAAAAACGAAUUGCACAAUAUCAUGAAUAAUCAGCUUAAACGGGCUGAAGGAGAAGUCGCUGGCCUCAACCGUCGCGUCCAGCUGCUCGAGGAAGAUUUGGAGCGCAGUGAGGAGCGUUUGAACACCGCCACCACCAAGUUGGCCGAAGCCUCUCACUCAGCUGAUGAAUCAGAACGUAUGCGCAAGGUGUUGGAGAACCGCAGCCUCUCCGAUGAGGAGCGCAUGGACGCGUUGGAAAAUCAGUUGAAAGAAGCCCGCUUCCUGGCUGAAGAGGCUGAUAGGAAGUACGACGAGGUGGCCCGUAAGCUGGCCAUGGUUGAGGCGGAUUUGGAGCGUGCUGAAGAGCGCGCCGAAACCGGUGAAACGAAAAUCGUGGAGCUUGAAGAAGAGUUGCGCGUCGUCGGUAACAACCUCAAGUCCCUGGAAGUGUCCGAAGAGAAGGCCAACCAACGCGAGGAAGCUUACAAGGAGCAGAUCAAGACGCUCACGACCAGGAUGAAGCAGGCUGAAGCCCGCGCCGAAUUCGCCGAACGUUCAGUGCAGAAAUUGCAGAAGGAAGUCGACCGACUGGAGGACGAGUUGGUGCACGAGAAGGAGAAGUACAAGUCAAUCACAGACGAUUUGGACCAGACUUUCUCAGAACUCUCGGCGUACUAGAGAUAUCAACAACGCUACUGCUCCCUCUACCACUACUACUAUUCACUUUAGACGAACUGGUCCACGAGAAGGAGAAA